CCAAGAUCUGUUUCCAGCUGCAAGAUUCUUGAUGAACAUCUGGCAAGACCAUGUACUGUACCAGGACUACAUGGAACCUCACGGGACCUCAAUAGUCUGGUGUGAUUUGUUCAACUGGUGAAGGUCUAAUCUUGGAUUUAGAAGUCUCCAUCUCAAUUUUCUGCUGUGACAGAUGUACUAGGGCUAAUAAUUUAAUCUCUGGGGGCUCCAUUUAUCUUCUUUGAAAGGGGUGAGUUUUGUAUUUGCUGUGAGAAUAGGUAAAGAAAUUAAAGCAGUCAGAUUACUUAAGUUAAAAAAAAAAGGUACUUUGUGCUGGAAAAUGUUUUAAGCAAAAAAAAAAAACAACAAAAAAAAACCGGAAACCUGGAAGAAAUGGGAAAUUAGAAUUGUUAGAGAAGAUACAGAAGACCUCAUUGAGAUAAAUAAGGGAAAAAGAAGAGUUUUUGGAAGAGCAAAAUAUGUUAAAGAGUCCCCACUGCUGCAGAGAAAAAAAAAAAAAGAAGAAGAAAAAAAAGAGAAUGGAUUCCAUACUUCCUGAAGAUUCCUAACUUACAAACCAGAAAGCACUCAUGAGGCCACUGGUUUUCCAAGUGAUAAUCCAAAUCCUGAGAGCCAGUAGGAAAGCAGCUGGAAAGCAAGGAUGGAUACCAAGCCUGGAUGGGAAACAGAAAAAAAGGGAUCCAGA
rnacentral:lncRNA from 12 species